AUUGAACGCUGGCGGCAGGCCUAACACAUGCAAGUCGAGCGGAUGAAGGGAGCUUGCUUCUGGAUUCAGCGGCGGACGGGUGAGUAAUGCCUAGGAAUCUGCCUGGUAGUGGGGGAUAACGUCCUGAAACGGGCGCUAAUACCGCAUACGUCCUGAGGGAGAAAGUGGGGGAUCUUCGGACCUCACGCUAUCAGAUGAGCCUAGGUCGGAUUAGCUAGUUGGUGGGGCAAAGGCCUACCAAGGCGAAGAUCCGUAACUGGACUGAGAGGAUGAUCAGUCACACUGGAACUGAGACACGGUCCAGACUCCUACGGGAGGCAGCAGUGGGGAAUAUUGGACAAUGGGCGAAAGCCUGAUCCAGCCAUGCCGCGUGUGUGAAGAAGGUCUUCGGAUUGUAAAGCACUUUAAGUUGGGAGGAAGGGCAGUAAGUUAAUACCUUGCUGUUUUGACGUUACCAACAGAAUAAGCACCGGCUAACUUCGUG
rnacentral:rRNA from 1 species